AGCAGCCGCGGUAAUUCCAGCUCCAAUAGCGUAUAUUAAAGUUGUUGCAGUUAAAAAGCUCGUAGUUGAAUUUCGGGAUCAAUACGUCGGUCGUGCCUCUGGUAUGUACUGGUGUUAUUGAUUUCUCCCUUCUGAUGAACCAUGAUGUCAUUCAUUUGGUGUUGUGUGGAGUCAGGACUGUUACUUUGAAAAAAUUAGAGUGUUUAAAGCAGGCUCACGCUUGAAUACAUUAGCAUGGAAUAAUGAAAUAGGACGUUCGAUCCUAUUUUGUUGGUUUCUAGGAUCAACGUAAUGAUUAAUAGGGAUAGUUGGGGGCAUUAGUAUUCAAUUGUCAGAGGUGAAAUUCUUGGAUUUAUUGAAGACUAACUACUGCGAAAGCAUUUGCCAAGGAUGUUUUCAUUAAUCAAGAACGAAAGUUAGGGGAUCGAAGACGAUCAGAUACCGUCGUAGUCUUAACCAUAAACUAUGCCGACUAGGGAUCGGAUGAUGUUAAUUUUUAAUGACU
rnacentral:rRNA from 1 species